rnacentral:rRNA from 1 species
CCUACGGGGGGCUGCAGUGAGGAAUAUUGGUCAAUGGUCGGGAGACUGAACCAGCCAAGCCGCGUGAGGGAUGAAGGUACAGAGUAUCGUAAACCUCUUUUGUCAGGGAACAAAGGCUGGGACGCGUCCCCGUUUGCGUGUACCUGAAGAAUAAGCAUCGGCUAACUCCGUGCCAGCAGCCGCGGUAAUACGGAGGAUGCGAGCGUUAUCCGGAUUUAUUGGGUUUAAAGGGUGCGCAGGCGGUCUUUUAAGUCAGCGGUGAAAGCCCGGGGCUCAACCCCGGCACCGCCGUUGAAACUGGGAGGCUCGAGUUGGUGAGAAGCAUGCGGAAUGCGCGGUGUAGCGGUGAAAUGCAUAGAUAUCGCGCAGAACCCCGAUUGCGAAGGCAGCAUGCCGGCUCCACACUGACGCUGAGGCACGAAAGCGUGGGUAUCGAACAGGAUUAGAUACCCGAGUAGUC